rnacentral:lncRNA from 1 species
UGGUGAGUUGGAGCUGACACAAUGCCGGCAGGUGCCUUUGUCUCAAUCCCCUCCAUCCAUCUUUAUCGGAUUUGCCAGACUCUCCCUCACUCUUUUUCCUUUCUUUACUUUACAUUGAAGGCAGCUGGGAAUGGAUCUGCAGGACGACUCUCCCAGGACAAUAAUAAUGAUCCAGGCAGCCUCAGGCAGCAGAUCUGGAAAUCCUUGGGAGAUUACCAUGGAAUGCAAACACUCAGCGCCACCCUGUGCUAAGAGCCAGAGGUGAGAUGGAAUGGGAGUUCCUGCUGUUGUGAAGGCCUGGCAGCAGUUCUGGCAAGUUUUAGGGAGAAGCUGAGACUCUUGAUUCCUUUUCUUGUCCUAGUGUGGAUGCUAAGUUUGGGAAGGCAAAACAGAUUAUAUAUGCAUAGUUUUUCUCAAUCCUGCCAAGCCAGGCUGAUGUGGAGAAGAUCAUCUGGGCGCCUCUUGGCAGAAGACAAUCAUUUCCCAAGAUCUUGGUGAACGUCUCUGAGAAAAAGGGGGCUUUCCCUCCCGAACAGACACCCAGUAGCUGCCCCCUUCCAUCUUCUAUGAACACCGAGGGCACACAAGGGUAUGAUUAAGCUACACCCUACCUCUCCCCUUCUCAAGAGAUGAACAGGGCAUUCAUGCCGCCUGGAGCUCCCAUUGUGUCCCCUAUUCCUGGGAGCGCCUAGUGGCUGAGUGUCAACUGCUCACAGUUACCUCCUCGGCUCCCCAAAACCCAUCUCCUCACAGGAACCUGGCUGGGAGGCCAAAUUCUGCAAAUCCAUUUGGGGAAAUAAAAGCCUUUUAACCUAAUUUCUUCCUCAGAAUUAUUUAUGUCCCU